UGAGGAAUAUUGGGCAAUGCCCGAAAGGGUGACCCAGCAACGCCGCGUGGAGGAUGAAGGUCGUAAGAUUGUAAACUCCUGUUAGAGGGGAAGAAUAACUAAGUUUGGAGCUUAGUAUGACUGUACCCUCAGAGAAAGCCCCGGCUAACUACGUGCCAGCAGCCGCGGUAAUACAUAGGGGGCAAGCGUUGUCCGGAUUUACUGGGUGUAAAGGGCGCGCAGGCGGAAUGGAAAGUCAGUGGUGAAAUCCUACAGCUUAACUGUAGAACUGCCUUUGAUACUUUCAUUCUUGAGUUCGGGAGAGAGAGACGGAAUUCCAGGUGUAGUGGUGAAAUACGUAGAUAUCUGGAAGAACACCAGUUGCGAAGGCGGUCUCUUGGUCCGAUACUGACGCUGAGGCGCGAAAGCGUGGGGAGCAAACA
rnacentral:rRNA from 1 species